rnacentral:tRNA from 1 species
GGCCCUUUCGUCUAUCGGUUAGGACAGCAGAUUUUCAUUCUGUAAAGGGGAGUUCGAUUCUCCCAGGGGCUA